rnacentral:rRNA from 1 species
UACAGAGGGGGCAAGCGUUGUUCGGAAUUACUGGGCGUAAAGGGCGCGUAGGCGGCCUGUUAAGUCGAACGUGAAAUCCCCGGGCUCAACCCGGGAACUGCGUCCGAUACUGGCAGGCUUGAAUCCGGGAGAGGGAUGUGGAAUUCCAGGUGUAGCGGUGAAAUGCGUAGAUAUCUGGAGGAACACCGGUGGCGAAGGCGGCAUCCUGGACCGGCAUUGACGCUGAGGCGCGAAAGCUAGGGGGAGCAAACGGG